rnacentral:tRNA from 1 species
UGGGGCGUGGCCGAGUGGUAAGGCACCGGGUUUUGAUCCCGUUCUUCGAAGGUUCGAAACCUUCCGUCCCAGA